rnacentral:lncRNA from 1 species
GUGUUUCUUUUUCAAUUGUGUUCUCCUAUUUAUUUAUAUUGUAGUCUUGUAAUGUUGUGUUGUCAUUUUAAUGUUAUAUUUCACAUGGCCAUAAAAGAGGGAGGUUUGGCAUGCCACAAAACCAGGUUCAACCUACCAUUUUUUUCCUUUAAAAAUGUCCUGUACCAAGUCAGGAAUAUGGCCAUUGUUAUAUUAUAGUUCGUU